CCUUACUGCUCAGUAACACGUGGAUAACCUGCCCUUGGGUCCGGCAUAACCCCGGGAAACUGGGGAUAAUUCCGGAUAACGCACAUAUGCUGGAAUGCUUUAUGCGUAAAAUGGAUUCGUCUGCCCAAGGAUGGGUCUGCGGCCUAUCAGGUAGUAGUGGGUGUAAUGUACCUACUAGCCUACAACGGGUACGGGUUGUGAGAGCAAGAGCCCGGAGAUGGAUUCUGAGACAUGAAUCCAGGCCCUACGGGGCGCAGCAGGCGCGAAAACUUUACAUUGCGGGAAACCGUGAUAAGGGGACACCGAGUGCUAGCAUCAUAUGCUGGCUGUCCAGGUGUGUAAAAUACACCUGUUAGCAAGGGCCGGGCAAGACCGGUGCCAGCCGCCGCGGUAACACCGGCGGCCCGAGUGGUGAUCGUGAUUAUUGGGUCUAAAGGGUCCGUAGCCGGUUUGGUCAGUCCUCCGGGAAAUCUGACAGCUCAACUGUUAGGCUUUCGGGGGAUACUGCCAGACUUGGAACCGGGAGAGGUAAGAGGUACUACAGGGGUAGGAGUGAAAUCUUGUAAUCCCUGUGGGACCACCUGUGGCGAAGGCGUCUUACCAGAACGGGUUCGACGGUGAGGGACGAAAGCUGGGGGCACGAACCGGAUUAGAUACCCGGGUAGUCCCAGCCGUAAACGAUGCUCGCUAGGUGUCAGGCAUGGCGCGACCGUGUCUGGUGCCGCAGGGAAGCCGUGAAGCGAGCCACCUGGGAAGUACGGCCGCAAGGCUGAAACUUAAAGGAAUUGGCGGGGGAGCAC
rnacentral:rRNA from 1 species